UGGAUAGCGGUGAAAUUCCAAACGAACUUGGAGAUAGCUGGUUCUCUCCGAAAUAGCUUUAGGGCUAGCCUCGGAAUUAGGAUCAUGGAGGUAGAGCACUAUUUGGACUAGGGGCCCGUCUUGGGUUACUGAAUUCAGAUAAACUCCGAAUGCCAUUGAUUCAUAUCCGGGAGUCAGACGAUGAGUGAUAAGAUCCACCGCCGAAAGGGGAACAGCCCAGACCAUCAGUUAAGGUCCCUAAAUGUAUGCUAAGUGGAAAAGGAUGUGGAGUUGCAUAGACAACUAGGAUGUUGGCUCAGAAGCAGCCACCAUUUAAAGAGUGCGUAAUAGCUCACUAGUCGAGUGAUCCUGCGCCGAAAAUGUACCGGGGCUAAGCAUACUACCGAAACCAUGGAUGCGAC
rnacentral:rRNA from 2 species